UAUAUUUGGGUGUUUGAUGCAUUUAGAAUUUUGAUUUCUAAGGUUUUAGUUUAAUUCUAAAAAAUAUAG
rnacentral:tRNA from 1 species